CCCCUUCCUAUCCAUACUCCUCAAUAUCGCUUGUAGCUCGAUAAUCAUUCUUUACUACUUAGCGAUAACCCUCUUAAGCUCUGUAUUCUUGAUGUCCUCUCUAGCCCUCCUCCACUUGGCCUCCGUAGAGACACAUUGAUAUUUAUGGAGGACCUAAUUUUGAGCAUAAAUAGAUAAUAAAUAGAUGAGUUAGAAGAAAAUUUAAAAAAUCAAAGUG
rnacentral:lncRNA from 1 species